ACUUCAAACUAAAUAAAGUGCUUUUUUAUUGAUAUUGUUUUUAUUUACUUCCAAACAAAACGAGAUUUAUGAUGUAUAAUUUUCGUCAUCAUUUUGUGCAGGUUUUUACGCAUUCAGUGAACGUUUUGUGAUCAGAAAGUGACUGAUUGCAUCAUGACAGGGAUUUUUCAGAUUUUUUUGAACGCACCACAUUUCCAGCAGCAAAUCAAAAACUUUUCUCAGAAAAACACGAGGAAGCAAGCAGCAGCCGCCCGGGAGGAGAAAGUUUUGGAGAGACGAAGAGGACGGAGCAUUAUGGACACUUUGGAUGAAGGAUUUAGCUAGCACUGUUUUUGGUUUGCUUGUCUGAACAAGCUCUGCGUACUUAUGAGCUUGGUGAGGAUGAUGAUGGCAGCGCGCACAGAGAUGAAUCGGACACGUUGGAGCUGAGAUCCUCUCCUGGACCCAUAUUCACCUGCUGCCUCACCUCGCCUGAAAACCUACUUACCUGCUGGAUCCUCUGAUGAAAGGUCUGAAGUUACUUACCUGUUGUGUCAUGUUGAUCGCUCUUCAGAAAAGGUCCAAAGGUUCCUGUCAUGGAAAGUAUUCCACCAGGCAGGAAUACGUGAAUAAACAAAGUGAAACUGCGUGGUCUGGUCUCAGAUUAUUUAAUAGAAGUGCAUAUGCAAGAGAGAUCGAGUGGAACCAGGCAGACGUGAUCAGAGCAUCUGUCAAGUUUGCACUAACUCAGAA